rnacentral:rRNA from 1 species
CCUACGGGUGGCAGCAGUGAGGAAUAUUGGUCAAUGGACGAGAGUCUGAACCAGCCAAGUAGCGUGAAGGAUGACUGCCCUAUGGGUUGUAAACUUCUUUUAUAUGGGAAUAAAAUGUUCCACGUGUGGGAUUUUGUAUGUACCAUAUGAAUAAGGAUCGGCUAACUCCGUGCCAGCAGCCGCGGUAAUACGGAGGAUCCGAGCGUUAUCCGGAUUUAUUGGGUUUAAGGGGAGCGUAGGUGGGUUGUUAAGUCAGUUGUGAAAGUUUGCGGCUCAACCGUAAAAUUGCAGUUGAAACUGGCAGUCGUGAGUACAGUAGAGGUGGGCGGAAUUCGUGGUGUAGCGGUGAAAUGCUUAGAUAUCACGAAGAACUCCGAUGGCGAAGGCAGCUCACUGGACUGCAACUGACACUGAGGCUCGAAAGUGUGGGUAUCAAACAGGAUUAGAUACCCCAGUAGUC